CCUACGGGUGGCUGCAGUGGGGAAUAUUGGACAAUGGGGGCAACCCUGAUCCAGCCAUGCCGCGUGUGUGAAGAAGGCCCUCGGGUUGUAAAGCACUUUCAGUGAGGAAGAACGCCUGGUGGUUAAUACCCAUCAGGAAAGACAUCACUCACAGAAGAAGCACCGGCUAACUCCGUGCCAGCAGCCGCGGUAAUACGGAGGGUGCGAGCGUUAAUCGGAAUUACUGGGCGUAAAGCGCGCGUAGGUGGCUUGAUAAGCCGGUUGUGAAAGCCCCGGGCUCAACCUGGGAACGGCAUCCGGAACUGUCAAGCUAGAGUGCAGGAGAGGAAGGUAGAAUUCCCGGUGUAGCGGUGAAAUGCGUAGAGAUCGGGAGGAAUACCAGUGGCGAAGGCGGCCUUCUGGACUGACACUGACACUGAGGUGCGAAAGCGUGGGUAGCAAACAGGAUUAGAUACCCGUGUAGUA
rnacentral:rRNA from 1 species